rnacentral:lncRNA from 1 species
UCAAAUCAACCUUGACCAAGGCCCAAACAAAUAGUCAACAUCAUAAGAUCAUAAAAAUGGCUCAACAUAAUUUUUACACAUUUAAUCAAUUAAGAAUCAAUUUAAAAAUGAAUAAAAAAUACAAUUUAAUUUGUUCAAAACCUAAAAUCUCUUCAAAACACCAAAUAAAUGGCCAAGAGAUUUAUCCUAGGUUAAACAAAGUCAAAGGACCUUAGACAAAAAAAUUCAUGAUUUUUGAAAAGUCAGAAGUAUUUUUAAACAAUUAAAAAUAUGCACGAAAAUAUUUAAUUUAUAAAAAAAUAUCAAAAUUAAUCCAAAAAAUAAUUUUAAUUCAGAAUCUGAAAGAGACAAAUAUUUAAAGAUUUUUGGUGAAAGUUCCAUAUUCUUUGGAUUAAAAAUGAAAUUAUCAUGUAUUAAACAAAAUAAAAGGAUUAAACAUAAAAUCAGAAAUUAAAAUAAAAAUAGAAAAAACAAGGGCAAUCAGAUCUCCCUCAUUAAUUGAGAUGACAGAUCUGAUGGCCACACGCGCGUGUUCCAUGGUGGACCUUGGUCAAUAUAAUGUAUGCGUGGUAAUCAGAAGCAAUGGUCCAGAUUAGAACAUCCAAGCUUGAUCAGAUGGCCAGGAAGUGUGGCAACACACCACCGGAGCUAGGGCUCCGGUCAUCUUCUCCGGUGACCUCUACCGGACUGGUCCAACUCCGUUUCAAUGGAAAGUGAAAAACAAGGACAUUAUUUCAAAGAGAAAAUGCUCAGGAUCACGAAUCUGGCCUUAAUUUUCCCCAAUUCCAAGUAUAUAAAAAGAUACAGGGAUUUGAAUUUUGAGGAUCAUAAACUGAGUUGAUUCGAUUUGACCUCAAAGCAACUCAAUCUUGUUGCCUACAUUGAUGGGACUUUAGCCAACCAAAAAUCACAAAGAAUAGUGAAGAAUUGAGAGAGAAUCGAAGAGAUGAAAAUUCUGGAAAAUCACCUUCGAGUGAGCUUCAAACUUACUUGAUCUUGCUUCUAAUUGGCCUUGGCUUGACUUCAAAAGCUUAUAGGAGUUGAAUUGGAUCAAGGCAAAGCUUAGACUCUUGGAGUUUCAAUCUCAAAACAGAAAGAGAUUUGAAGCUCGAUUUUCAAAUGAAAACCUUCAAGAUUGUCCUUUAAUGGUGAGGGUUUGGAUUCCAGGUUCAAAGCUUGGGCAUGAGGUCCUUAAUUCUGAGCCAAGAGGGUCUUAUUUAUAGGCUAUGCAUUUGAUUUUGACACACUUCCAAAAUUGGCCAAAAAUAGCAAUUCCCUUGCAUGCUUGCAUGAGCGUGUGAUAGGCCCAUCAAAUGAUGCUAUCAGGUCCAAAAUCACUCAUGUGCAAUGCUGAAAUCAUGUCAUGUGGUCAUGCAAAGGAGAUUGAAAUGUGAAUGUGAAAUUCAUCCAAAUGAACCUUUAAAAUGAAACCAUGCGCAAGUCCUCCAAUUCUUGGCCAAAUGAGAUAAUCUUGGACUUUUUGGAAAGGUGAGAUCAUGGAGAACAACUUUCAUGUUGAACACUUUUCCAUUUGAAUCUUAAAUCAUGAUGAAUUUUUGGAAGUUUGGGAAAUCAAACAUAUUUGAAAUUUUUCUAAGUACCAAGUCAAAUGUUCACUUCUUCCACCUUGAAUAACUUUUGCUAUCUGUUUCAAAUGGAAAAACUUCCUUCAUAAAAGUUUUACCUCUUUAAACCCUAUUCAUUUUGGUCACAAAUUGGAUCCUAUUUGGAUUUUGAAUGAAGGAGUUAUGCAUUUUAGAAGUUGAGGAAAAUCACUUGUUCAAUGGUAAUGGCCCAAAAUGACCUAUAAUGUUUCCACUUGACACAUGCAUUUGCAAGUUGAAUUUGAACUUAUUCCAAGAAUAAAAGUUGGAGGUAAACUAUUCAAUUUGAUCAUGAAACUUUAAUUUCUUUCAUAUGAUAAAAUUUUAGCAAGUUAUUGUCCUUGGAAGUUGACCUCCUAACUAGGGUUCAGACAAAAUGACCUAUAAUCUUUCACCAUACAAAAUGACUCUCCAAGCAAAAAUAGCUCUUAACCUCAACAUGAAAGUUUGCUGGAAUGUCAUAAGGAGUGAAGUUUCUCUUGAAAUCAUUUUCAUAUGACAAAAAUUGUAGUAGAUAGGGUCUAGUGAACCCUAGUUUUGACCAGUUGACUUUCUCUGGUUAACCACUAUGAAUCAACUUGCAAACUUGAAAUUAUAUUGAUAUUUUGGAACCAUGGAGGAUCAUAUAUGCAUAAGAUGAUAUAAUAUGGAGUAUCCAUUGAAAUAUUUGAUCAGAUGAUGAAGAAACUUGGCUGAGGAAGUCACACAAGAUACCCAUAUGAACUAGGGCUUCCAAGGCAAACAAGCUUCAAACUCUUGAUGAAUUCUUGAUAAAAAUGAUAAAUGGAGAUCAUGGGUAUCCAUAUAUGAUGUAUAGAGUAAAUGAGAACCAUUUCUUGAUUGAUCUCCUUGUAUUUAGGGUCUCAAACCCUAUAUAUGAGCUUGAUGAGACCUUGGUGAAUGCACACACUACCUACAAAAGAAACAAAGCUAUACAUAGACAUAUUUUUGGUAUUUUGGUUUGUAAAUAAUGAAAAAAAAAUAUGAUACAAUCAAAUGUGCUUGAUGACAUCUCCAAAUGCAAACCCAAUGAAUGAGGGGUAAGGAGGAUGCCAAGGUGUGAUCGUAAAGCCAGUACAAAUGAUGAGAUAGCAUGAGGGAUCUUAGGGUCAAAAUUGGGGUCUUAUAAAUAUAUAAAAAAAAUAUUGUUGGGAUUCAAACCCAUUACCAUUUAAACUAACCCCUCGGUUAUUCUUAAACCGAGGGGUAAAGUUACAACUUUUCAUGUCAUCGUUUGUUACCUCAACAUUGUAACUGAUGUGAAAUCUAUUUCGCUUCCGACAUGACAUGUGUUAUUUGCAGUAGUGAACCAUGGUUGGUUAUAUGAUUGUAAAUUAAUGUUGGUUGGUUAGGAUGUGUUGUGAAUGAACCUUAGUAGAUUCAAGUGGUAUAUCCUUAUCUUGCAAGGUCAUGAUAUGUCAAGUGUGAUUCUUGGAAUCAUAAACUCUUGACAACAAUGUAAAAUAAGUAAGGAAGAUAAAUGUAAGGAUGGAGUAUGUGAAGUCAAUCAGUUUUUUGAUGAUGUGAUGUUUCUAAAUAAGGGAGUCGAUAGGCAGAUAGGUAGGAUAAAUAUGGAUACAACGUUGUUUAACAUGAUCCUAAGAGAAGGGGAAGGAUAAUUCCAGAAACCACCUUAGUGGACAUGGUGGGGAAGGUCAUAUAUAAAUACUAUCUAUGUGGGGCGGCAGAUACGUGAAAGGCUUGAUUCCUACAUCUUGCCAGGAGUGUAGAUCAAUACGUGGGAGAGUAAGACCCUGAGAGAAGGAAGAUAGAUAUACCCUGAAGAACUUACCUUAAGGGAUAUGUUCCGAAAAGAAGGAAGGGAGAUAAACCUAGAAGACUUUACCUUAGUGGGCAGCGGGUAGUCGAUUAUCAAAGACAAUCAAAACUCUAGUCGAGCCAGAGGUUUUUCAAGACUUUGACAUUACAAAUUCGUAGCUCCCAUUGUUCUACAUGGAAAUUGUGUCUCGGUUAUCAAUUUUUCACGUGUUGUAUGAGCGGUAUUGGAUGUAUAAUUCUAAUUGUAUACUCGGGAGACACUGACCAAAACUCUCCUAAGAUAGGGCAUGACAAAUAGUGAUCCACAUGCCCUACUUGACAGUAGGGGGUAUUACACUUCUGGCUCAAUCUUGACAUAGGGCGACAUGCAUAGCUUAGCUCAUGUGGAGGCAGUAGGAUAUGCCAAGGUUCGAUACUAUGCUUAUGGGAGGAUAUGAGAAUCCUUGUCAUACAAGUGUUGUAGGAGUUAUACCUUCACGCAUUUCGCUUGUUUGCUAGAGUCAUAAUAUGUGUUGGUGCGUGAGUACUAGAGUUAGGGUUUACGUACAACCACUGUACCUUCCACCCAGAGCAGUGUACAUCUGUCACUAGCAAUGGGAACCGAAAUAAGAUGGGUAUAAUUUACCUUGUGAGGAUUGUGUGCGAGCACUUAUUAUUCUAUUUCGCUGUGUGUUGUCUUAGUUCUCUAGAUGGUGAACCAUGAUGAGAUGGGCUUAUUUUGUGCGGAUCAUCGUGCAAGGUCAGGUAGGUGAUCUCAAUGAGAUUUAUGUGAGAAUUAAAGAAAUGGUUGCUCAUAGGAGAUGGAUGUGAAAUGUUUUAGUGCCUAGUUGGUGAUGUCAUAUUAAGAUCAUGCUGAGGGAGUGAGAUGCUAGAUAUAUGCGCUUGAGUGUGCAACAAUGAAUCAAGCUAAGACUUAUAAAAUUACCAGUUCUCGAAUUGUAAUCUCGUUAUGAUGUUGGAGUAUUUCUUAGGGGAAGAGGUUUAGGAAAUUCAUAUAUUAAGGAAUCGUUGUUCGGAGUACCACAAAGUAUUAGCGCAAUGAUGAUCUAAUCAGACCGAGUACAGUUGAUCAAUGGAGUUUGCAGACCCAGUGCAAUGAAAUAAGAGUUGCAAACUAUAGAAGAAUUGGUGGCCGAGAAAAUCAUAGUGGCACAUCUGAAGAGGUAUGAUUUGUAAGAGAAUUGAGAUUUGGAUAAAGUCGCUAACCGGAUAAUGUUAGUUGUCCUUCAAGUAUAGGGAUAAUACCAUGUGAAAUAUGGUAUUGUAUGAGGGGAAUAUCACCUUUCGUGGGGAAAAGAACGAGAAAAGAGAAAUUCUUAGACCAGGAAGGAUUCAAGAAAGCACGAAAGAAUGAAGACUAUCAAUGAAGAGAAACUAUAAGCUCAAGUAUGUCAUAGGAGUCAUGCAAAUCCACAAAGAGAACCUUUAGAAAUUGGUGAAGGAAUCCCAAUCGGGUGAAGCCGCGUGAGAGCUAAAGUCAGAAAUGUAAAAAGUAUUUUUAACCCCUUGAACAGACAAUAUUAGAGGACGAAUUUCAUAUUAUGGGGGUGUAAUACCCUAUAUUAGGCAUGGCAACAUAACCCGUACCCGCGGGUACCUACCCGAACCUUCCCCGAAGUUGACGGGGAAAACCCGCUUUGACUGGGUUUGGGUUCGGGUUUGGGUUUUCCCCGAUUAUAAAAUAUGGGGAUGGGUCGGGUAAUGGGGACACUAAUACCCACUCCGAACCCGCCCCGUUUAUUUUAUUAUGUACAUUAUUUUUUUAUUUUUGAUAAUUUAGAAUAUUAAAUAUGUGGUCAAUGUUUGAUAUUUUAAUUUUAAUUUAUUAUUUAAAAUAUUUGAAAUGUAUAAAUAAAUUUUAUUUAGAUUGUUUUAUUUUAUUAUUUGUAAUGUAAUUUUAUUUUGAAAAAAAUAAAUAUUUCUAUUAAAAAAAAUUGAUUUCACUAAAUGAAUGGUGGCGGGGUGGGGAUACCCAAACCCAACCCGAACCUGUUUGGGACGGGUUUGGGUUUUGAUUCUUCAUCCCCGUUUGCAUUUGGGGCGGGGAAUGGGGAUUAUUUGGGGAUUCGGGUUUGGAUUUGGGGGAAGUAAAAACCGUCCCCGAUCCGCCCCGUUGCCAUGCCUACCCUAUAUUUUCUAUUCUUAUUAUCAUCCUUUAAUUGAUAGGUUAAUGGCUAAUGAAAGAGAUUAAAAGGCUUAAUAAAAACCCUAAGCAUGUUUAAUGAAGGUAUGAAAAUCCUUUGCAAUUGUGGGUCAGUGGCUAGGGAAUUUUGAUCAUUUUUCCUUAAGGAUAUAAAAGGAAAAACAGUGGUGGGAUAACUCAUUUCCUCACUCUGUUUCUUUCCCUAAGACCAGAAAAAUUAAAGAAGAAGAGACAAUAUGAAGAGGAGGGAGACGAGUAAGAAGAAAAAAGGGAGAAAGAGAGUGAUUUUGAAGCAACCUUCCUGCAUGCACAAGAGGGUGUAUGAUUCUUGAAAGAAGAUAGUUAGUUAAGCAUUUGGAUCAUCAUCCACUUCACUUCAUCACCAUCAAUAGCAAAAUCCAGGUUUUUACAAAAGGUGGGGUUCAUUAUAUAGUCAUAGCUUUAAGAUGUUGGAGAUUUUUGUUUGACAAUGUGAUUGCAUGUUCUUGUUGUGACUUAGUAUGUUCAUAUAAUAUGUUGAAUUUGAUGUUGCCUUGAGUAUCUAUGCUUGUGUUUUGACUGACAAAAAUGUGGUAUGUUAUUACUCAUGAUGUUAAGGUUGCAAUUUACCAUGAAAGAAUGAUGAGUUUUUUGAAAUUGAAAGUGUGAGAACAUUGAAUUAAUGUGACAUUGAUAGAACGUGAGUAUGUGUGAGAAUCCUUGCAUGUGUUGUUUUAUGAUGUUAUAGCAUUCUGAUAACAUGUUCGCAAAUGUUUGAAUGUGUUGAAUGUAAUUUUAAGUGUCGGGUUUUUGUUAUCGUCUCCACAGGGAUUGUGAGAUAUCACCGCCUUUCGACAGUUGUUUUAAUUCUUAGCUUAAGGUAACAAUGGGGUUUGGUGUUUGUCACUGGAACCUGUGUUCUUAUUGAAACAUCUUGUGUUGGUUUAUGAUCGGAGAUGUUACCAACUCUUAACCUAGAUUUUCAUCCAUCUUGUUUGUUAGCUAGAGAUAGUAAUGAAUGAUUUGUUCACCAUAAGGUUGAACAAAAAGUUGUCAUUUUGAUAGAUUGUGUUAGACAUAAACAAUGGUAUCAAAAUGGGAAAAACUCACAUAUGUGUGUAGAGAUAAACACAUUAGAGGACUUUGUGAAAUAAGUUUAUCAUCUAAAGGAGUUUAUAAAUUUUGUGAUCGAACAUAUACAUGCAAAGUGAUCGUCGAACCCUAACUUUGGCAAUAUUUCUCAAAUAUUCAAACCAAAACUUUUACCGCAUUUUAUUACACUUUUAUGCAAGAUACCGUGACAAACACCAAACCCAUUGUUACCUUAAGCUAAGAAUUAAAACAACUGUCGAAAGCGGUGAUAUCUCACAAUCCCUGUGGAGACGAUAACAAAAAUCGACACUUAAAAUUACAUUCAACAAAAUGGGCCUCGGAUGUUGAUCAACCUUCUUCCGAAACUUGUUGAACAAGCUACCAUGAAAAUGAGUAGCUAAGUCCUUCAUUUUGUCAAGGUUAGAUGUAGAUGAUCAUUAGCUUUGUGUGUUAAAUGUAAGGAUCUUCAUUUGUAAACUCUUUAAUGGUGAAUAUAUGGUGAAAACUUUAUUCUUAUUGAAAACUCUUUGUGUUGGUUUAUGAUCGAGAGAUGUUUACCAACUCUUAACCUAGGUUUUCAUCCAAUCUGUUUGUUAGCUAGAAGAUAGUAAUGAAUGAUUUUGUUCACCAUAGGUUGAACCAAAAAGUUGUCAUUUUGAAUAGAUGUGUUAGAGAUAAACAAUGGAAUCAAAUGGGAAAACUCACCAAUGUGUUAGAGAUAAACACAUUGGGAGGACUUUGUGAAAUAUUUAUCAUCUAAAGGAGUUUAUAAAUUUUGUUGAUCGAACAUAUACAUGCAAAGUGAUCGUCGACCCUAACUUUGGCAAUAUUUCUCAAAUAUUCAAACCAAAACUUUACCGCAUUUUAUUACACUUUUAUGCAAGAUACCGUGACAAACACCAAACCCCAUUGUACCUUAAGCUAAGAAUUAAAACAACUGUCGAAGCGGUGAUAUCUCACAAUCCCUGUGGAGACGAUAACAAAAACCCGACACUUAAAUUACAUUCAACAAAAUGGCGCCUCGGAUGUUGAUCAACCUUCUCCGAAACUUGUUGAACAAGCUACCAUGAAAAUGAGUAGCUAAGUCCUUCAUUUUGUCAAGGUUAGAUGUAGAUGAUCAUUAGCUUUGGUGUAAAUGUAAGGAUAUUCAUUUGUAAACUCUUUAAUGGUGAAUAUAUGGUGAAAACUUUGUUCUUAUUGAAAACUCUUUGUGUUGGUUUAUGAUCGAGAGAUGUUUACCAACUCUUAACCUAGGUUUUCAUCCAAUCUUGUUUGUUAGCUAGAGAUAGUAAUGAAUGAUUUUGUUCACCAUAAGGUUAACCAAAAAGUUGUCAUUUUGAUAGAUUGUGUUAGAGAUAAACAAUGGAUCAAAAUGGGAAAACUCACAAUGUGUGUUAGAGAUAAACACAUUGGAGGACCUUGUGAAAUAGUUUAUCAUCUAAAGGAGUUUAUAAAUUUUGUUGAUCGAACAUAUACAUGCAAAGUGAUCGUCGAACCCUAACUUUGGCAAUAUUUCUCAAAUAUUCAAACCAAAACUUUUACCGCAUUUUUUUACACUUUUAUGCAAGAUACCGUGACAAACACCAAACCCCAUUGUUACCUUAAGCUAAGAAUUAAAACAACUGUCGAAAGGCGGUGAUAUCUCACAAUCCCUGUGGAGACGAUAACAAAAACCCGACACUUAAAAUACAUUCAACAAAAUGGCGCCUCGGAUGUUGAUCAACCUUCUUCCGAAACUUGUUGAACAAGCUACCAUGAAAAUGAGUAGCUAAGUCCUUCAUUUUGUCAAGGUUAGAUGUAGAUGAUCAUUAGCUUUGUGUGUAAAUGUAAGGAUAUUCAUUUGUAAACUCUUUAAUGGUGAAUAUAUGGUGAAAACUUUGUUCUUAUUGAAAACUCUUUGUGUUGGUUUUAUGAUCGAGAGAUGUUUACCAACUCUUAACCUAGGUUUUCAUCCAAUUCUGUUUGUUAGCUAGAGAUAGUAAUGAAUGAUUUUGUUCACCAUAAGUUGAACCAAAAAGUUGUCAUUUUGAUAGAUGUGUUAGAGAUAAACAAUGGAUCAAAAUGGAAAACUCACAAUGUGUGUUAGAGAUAAACACAUUGGGAGGACCUUGUGAAAUAGUUUAUCAUCUAAAGGAGUUUAUAAAUUUUGUUGAUCGAACAUAUAUACAUGCAAAUGAUCGUCGAACCCUAACUUUGGCAAUAUUUUCUCAAAAUUCAACCAAAACUUUUACCGCAUUUUAUUACACUUUUAUGCAAGAUACCGUGACAAACACCAAACCCAUUGUUACCUUAAGCUAAGAAUUAAAACAACUGUCGAAAGGCGGUGAUAUCUCACAAUCCCUGUGGAGACGAUAACAAAAACCCGACACUUAAAAUUACAUUCAACCAAAAUGGCGCCUCGGAUGUUGAUCAACCUUCUUCCGAAACUUGUUGAACAAGCUACCAUUGAAAAUGAGUAGCUAAGUCCUUCAUUUUGUCAAGGUUAGAUGUAGAUGAUCAUUAGCUUUGUGUGUUAAAUGUAAGGAUAUUCAUUUGUAAACUCUUUAAUGGUGAAAUAUGGUGAAAACUUUGUUCUUAUUGAAAACUCUUUGUGUUGGUUUAUGAUCGAGAGAUGUGUUUACCAACUCUUAACCUAGGUUUUCAUCCAAUCUAUGUUGUUACUAGAGAUAGUAAUGAAUGAUUUGUUCACCAUAAGGUUGAACCAAAAAGUUGUCAUUUUGAUAGAUUGUGUUAGAGAUAAACAAUGGAUCAAAAUGGAAAAACUCACAAAUAUGUGUUAGAGAUAAACACAUUGGGAGACUUUGUGAAAUAAUUUAUCAUCUAAAGGAGUUUAUAAAUUUUGUUGAUCGAACAUAUACAUGCAAAGGGAUCGUCGACCCUAACUUUGGCAAUAUUUCUCAAAUAUUCAAACCCAAACUUUUACCGCAUUUUAUUACACUUUUAUGCAAGAUACCGUGACAAACACCAAACCCCAUUGUUACCUUAAGCUAAGAAUUAAAACAACUGUCGAAAGGCGGUGAUAUCUCACAAUCCCUGUGAGACGAUAACAAAAACCCGACACUUAAAAAUUACAUUCAACAAAAUUGGCGCCUCGGAUGUUGAUCAACCUUCUUCCGAAACUUGUUGAAACAAGCUACCAUUGAAAAUGAGUAGCUAAGUCCUUCAUUUUAUCAAGGUUAGAUGUAGAUGAUCAUUAGCUUUGUGUGUAAAUGUAAGGAUCUUCAUUUGUAAACUCUUUAAAUGGUUGAAUAUAUGGUGAAAACUUUAUUCUUAUUGAAAACUCUUUGUGUUGGUUUCAUGAUCGAGAGAUGGUUACCAACCUCUUAACCUUAGGUUUUAUCCAAUUCUUGUUUGUUUAGCUAGAGAUUAAAUGAAUGAUUUGUUCACCAUAAGGUUGAACCAAAAAGUUGUCAUUUGAUAGAUUGUGUUAGAGAUAAACAAGGAUCAAAAUGGGAAAACUCGACAAUGUGUGUUAGAGAGAUAAACACAUUGGAGGACUUUUUGUGAAAUAGUUUAUCAAUCUAAAGGAGUUUAUAAAAUUUGUUAUGAACAUAUACAUGCAAAGUGAUCGUCGAACCCUAACGUUUGGCAACUAUUUCUCAACAUAUUUCAAACCAAAAAUUUUACCGCAUUUUAUUACACUUGUUAUGCAAGAUACCNNNNNNNNNNNNNNNNNNNNNNNNNNNNNNNNNNNNNNNNNNNNNNNNNNNNNNNNNNNNNNNNNNNNNNNNNNNNNNNNNNNNNNNNNNNNNNNNNNNNUUGGGUUAACUAAAUGAAGUGAUUUGCAUUUGCUAAUUUUUGACAUAUGCAUAUGGGGUGUAUGGUUCUGGCCGAGUUUGGCCUCAACAGUUUCAAAUACCAUUCCAAACAAAUCCCAAAUGGCCAAAUUGGUUUAAAUCCUAUUAAAAAGUCAAUUUGCACCACUUAAAUCAAUGAAGACAGUCAAAAAUGGCAUUUUGCUGGUAAGGUUUUGUGAUGAUAAAUGAUUUUUGGAAAAGGGGAACAAAUGGAGCUUGUAGGAAAAAAACCCCACUAAAAUGGCCUUGUGGUUUCAUGAGAAUGGCCUUUUGAAGUUCAAAAUUUGUGAAAAUGAAUUGUCAUAUCUUGACAACCAUACAUGGAAUUGAGAGUUCUUGGACUUUUUGGAAAUGGGAGAACAAGAUCUUCAACUUUCAUGUUGGGCAAAAAUAUUCAUUUGAAGCUUGUAUCUGAUGUAGUUGAGGAUCAAGAAGUUUCCAUUUUUGGCAGUUGAAAUUAACAGGUCAAGUUUCUAUUUCUGGAAAUUUUCUGUUUGACUCAAAUUCUCCAUGAUGAAGUUGACAUGAUAUAUGAGCGCUUAUAUGGACAUGAAUGAGCUCCUUCAGAUCAAUUCCACCAUCAAAUCUCUGAUUAAAUGGACAGUUGACCAAGUUGACUUUCAGUUGACUUUCCUAGGGUGUUUGCCAUGAGACCACUUCUGAUGAAUUCCAACCCUAAUUCCUUGAGAAUCUUGAUUCCACAUGAUGUCUCAAGUUUGUAUGAAUCUGUAUUAUUGAUCAUGCCCAAAUUCUGCAAGAAUGGCCACCACAUUGUUUGACUGAUGUGAGCUGUCUUUGACCUAAUUGCUGAUGAUUGCUUCAACUGCAAGCACAAGUGUAAACUGACACAAUAUUUUUUGUACUUUUUGGUUGAUAAACAUAUGAAAAGCAAAGAUAUACAAAUGCAAGGCAUGCCUGUGAUAAGAAACAACCACAAGGCAACCUACCCACUAGGAGGGAAACCAGGGCAUGCCAAUGGUCCUUGAGGUUAUGCAUGAGAUGAUAUGGCCAUGAGGGAUCUUAGGGCCAAAUUGGGGUCUUACAAAUCAUGAGCAUCGAAAACUGACCUUUAAUUGAAGCAUAGUGAUGAAACGAGUGAAUCAAGCCUUGUAAUGCCAAAACAGAAGUUCCUUGAUGCUUGUAUGAGUGAAUGAAGCAAGUUUGGAUGUUGAUUGUACACGAUUUUGUGAAAACUCAAAUUGCCAUUGUGAGAACUCACUUUGACAGUUCCAAAAAACAGCUCCACAGUUCAUGAUUUAGCUUCCAAAGUCUUCAAUAAUGCGCAUGGAUCAUGGAUUGAUCAAGGACAAUGCUAUGUUAUGCAGAUUUUUGGAGAAAAAGGAGAGAGAAAGUGAAGAGUUUUUUUUGAUCUAGAUCUAGAAUUCACAAUUCUGUUAUGGUUAAUUAGAAAACAGUUAGAAUUAGGUUUAUAUUAUGUGUGUUAAUGAAGUUGCUAAUCAUGAUUAGCAAAAAUGCAAAUGUUUAAGUGAAACCAAGUUUUAUGCUAAAUUUAGCAUUUCACCCUCACAUGUACAAAACAAUGUACAGUGCCAAUUCUGGUUCGGAGCAAGUUUAAAACCUGUUUUAAGGCCAAGGCAAUUGGAAAACAUGAAAACCAUGCUUAUUUUUCAAAAUGACUUUUUCCCUCCAAUUUCAAAAUAGGUUCACUUGAAAAAUGCACUUUUUGUGUGAGCAAAAUUCAUGAAAUGUAUGCUUGUUUGGAUAGAGGACAUCAAAAGAAAUUUGCUCUAAAAAGUUCCACUCCAUUUGGCCUUGUGAAUCAAAAAGUUAAUGCCUGUUGAAGUUCAACUUGCUGACAAUGAUUGAUCCAUAACUUGCCAACCACAAAUGAGAAAUUCAUGUUCUUGGACUUUUUGGAAAGGUGAGAGCAAGAUCUACAACUUUCAUGUUGGACAAAAUUUCAUUUGAAGAAUUUUUGGACAUGUAAUUUUGAGGAGAAAACCUUUCCAUUUUUGGCAAUUUGAAUUACAAGUCACUUUCUAUUUUUGGAAAGUUUUCAUCUGACUUUAUUUCUUCAUUGUGAUGUUUGAAAUGUCAAAUGAAACUUGUUUGGACAUGAAUGAAGUGUCUCUAACCCUCUCCCACCUCCAAAUCCAUCAGUUGACCUUUGGUUGACUUUUGUUGACUGAUAGAUGAACUGGCCAUGCAUAGAUGAAAUUGAGCUUCAAACUCCUGAUGAAAUGGCUCAAACAUGAAACCCUAGCUUCAAUAAGCUCAAUGAAACCAUAUGAUGAUCCCCAUAUCCAUUGAAACAGUCAUCUCCUUAACAAGCCCUGAUUGGCACAAUGCAGAUGAUUAGGGUUGACCAGAGGUCAAAACCCUAAUCUCAAGGUAUCUGAUCAAACACAAUGAAUCCCUUGGUGAUGACAAAACCAUGAUGAUGAUGAUGUACCAUCUCAACCAAGGUGAUGAUCAAUCUCCUUGAAGAAUCAAGAAACCCUAAUUUGAAUCACAAACCCUCAGAUGGCUAGUGAUCAAUCCAUGAAGCCCUCAACUUGAAUAUCUUAAUCUCUUUAUCUUCUGAUCAAGACCUAGGAGGAUGGCUUGCUUGUUGUGGCCAUAUGAUAUGAAAAGAUGCCAUGCCUAAUGACCUAAAAAUGAAAUGCAAUAUGCUAAGCUAGUCCCAAGAGAGGAGGGCAAAUUUUGAGGUGUUACAUUUAGCACCACUCUUCAAUCUUAACUUAUUCCAAUAUAUUCCAUAACUUCAUCUAUCAUGUCAGAUUCUUUAUUCAAUAUCUCAUCAAAUUUUAUGGUGUCCUCGAGCUAGGAUGAUAGUACUGACACCUAUUCUUUCAAACCUGAGAUGGUAUUAACAAGUUUCUUUUUAUCUUGAUAAAGAUCACUUAUCAUUUUCUUUAGAAUAUCUAUUUCCACAUAUGCUUCUCCCCACUUGGUGAUCAAUAGUCUAAGCGAAGCAGUUAUCUCUUCAUUAGUUAAGUACUCAUCACUAGACUUACCCUUAACAUUGCCCUUACAAAUAUAUGCCAUCACCUAGUUAACAUUUUCUCUAUCACUUUAAUUUUAAGAGUCAUACAAGGUGAUUGACAAUCCUUACUUAUGACAUUCCAUUUUAAUGUGACCAUAUCCUUCACACUCAAAGCAUUAGAUCACUUUGCCUAUAUUCUGGGAAUUGAUGUCAGACCCCUUGUCUUAGACAUUAGUCCUCCACUUCCUGUCCAGGUUCUUUGAAGAGUUGUUGAACCUUUUCCCAAUAAGAGCUAUAACAUAUGAAUGGAUUUAUUAUUUAUCACCCUGAUCUCCUUCAGUAUUGGAAAAAAGGCUAUACCUUUGUUCUUCUUUUCUGACAUUUCACUGAUGGACAUAUCAAAGGUUUACAGAGAACCAAUGAGUUCAUCAACCUUAAUACUGCCUACAUCUUGAGUUUCUUCAAUAGCAAUUGUUGGAACAAAAUUGGUUUGUCCCAUAUCCUUUUGGUUUUGAUGAUAACAAAGUAUUUAAAGAACAAAAGGGUAUAUUAAUAAAGUGUGCAUGACCAUAUACUAAAAUUCAUAUUAAAUCCAAGUAUUGGUCCUGACUCUGAAUAUCCAAAGAGAAGCAUGAAGAUCAUAUUCUGAUGCAUCAAAAGUUGAAGAACUGAAUCUGAACAAGUCAUCUCUAAAGAGGUCAACAUUUAGGCAUCAGAGUCUGAAGGAAUCGGCCUCUGAAAAUAGACUUUGGAGAAGUUUACUUUUGGUGACUAGAACCUGAGCUAGUCAAAAUGCAAGGACCAUGGUGACACUGGUAGAUGACUGUUCACCUAUGAACAUACUUUAUCACAUGAUGACCUAAGCUUUAGGUUCUUCAUAGAGUUUGUUAUGAUACAACUGUUAAUUCCUUUUGUAGCAAAGGUUUUUCAAGAUAGGUUUCACCUAAUCUGACAGUUUGGUGAAAUAUUCCAACGUCUCUUUUAAAGCUUCUCAAUGGUCUCCUCUGUUGCAUCUUCAACCGCUCUUUUAUUCACUAUUUAAGGAGCUAAAAGUCUUAAAGAAAAGAAGAGCAUAUGAGAUACACAUAUACAUGCUAAACAUGCUAAUAAACAACGAUUGACAAUUAAAGAGAAGCUACUUUUUCAAAGUUUUAGCACAAGCUAAACUUAGGAUUUCUUAUCCUUGUAUAUCUUAGAAAUCCCUAAGUCUUAAACGAGUCCUAUUGCAUUGUAUUAUUUAUAAACCUCUGAUUGUAUAACAACUAUAUUCAUCCAACAAUAAUUUAUCUGCUAGGUAGAUUAUUAGAAGUCUUCUACUAAGUGUUUGGGCAAGGAAGUCUCAUACUUGUGUGUGUGAGCAAGGAAGUCUUGAGCUUGUGCGCUUGAGCAAGAAAGCAUCAUACUUUUGUGUGUUAGUAAGGAAGUCUUAAGCUUGUGUGCUUGAGAAAGGAAGUCUCAUACUUGUGUGUAUGAGCAAUGAAGUCUUUCAUAAAUGGUCUUCUCUUAAGAAAAGCGAUUGUGUUAUCUUUGUGAAUCAAUGGUCUGGAUAAAAUUAAACUCUAUUUCGUUUCCCUAUAAAUGGUGUAUUUUAUAGUUGUGUGAUUGAUUUUUUUUUUAAAAUUAAAUUUCUUUACUCACAACUCAAUAUUGGUUGGAAAGGUUAGAAAACAACUUUAAUUCACUCUUCUUGGUGGAUCAUAUGAUAUGGAUGCAAGUGAUUAAAAGUGAUAGAUGCAAGAAGAAAAGGAAAAUACAUUCUUUUAUUAAGAAAAAGGGUACAAAGACUAAAGUCCUCCUUUAGAUCAAAAUGACCUACUGUUCCCAAUCUUCUCUAAAUUCCUCUAGAAAGUAAGCACGACGAUUGAGGAAGUUUGACCAGUCAAAGUCAAACUCAUCAGCAUAUGAACCAUAGUCAAAAGGUGGAUCGAGGAUUUUCUAAAUCCUCCUCCUCUUCUUUUCCAUGAAUGGUUUUCUCACCUUCAAUGCUCUAACCGAUGAAUCUGUCUUUGUUACUAGACCUUCCGCCUUUGUUGACUGAAACUUAAGCUUUCUCACAUUAUCUUCAUUAACUGCCUUGUUAACUUCACUUAGAUUACUAGUUUGGGAGUUUUUGAGAGAAUCACUCAUUGUUUCUACCUUGAAGAAAUGUGCUAAGUUUAAAUUGAAUACGAUCUUGCUUGUAUAAAAACUCUACUUUUAUAGAGAGUUUUGGUUAAAGUAAAAUUAACUUUGAAUAUUAUGCACCAAUGGUCUUCAGAGAGAAAUAAAUUCAUAUCUUCAAACACGUCUCUUCAGACUUGAGUUUUGUGAAACAUCCCAACGUCUCCCAAUGUCUCUUUUAAGAUUCUCAAUGGACUCCUUUGUUGCAUCUUCAACCACUUUCUUCUUCACUAUUCAAGGAGCUAAAAGACUUGAAGAAAAGCAGAAGAUAUGAGAUACACGCAUACAUGCUGAACAUGCUAAUAAACAACGAUUGAAAACUAAAGAGAAGCUACUCUAUCAAAGUUUUAACACAAGCUAAACUUAGGAUUUCUUAUCCUUGUAUAUCUUAGAAACCUAUAAGUCUUAAACGAGUCCUAUUGCGUUGUAUUAUUUAUACACCUCUGAUUGUAUAUAAAGUGUAUUCACCUAACAAUCAUCUAUCUUCUAGGUAGAUUGUUAGAAGUCUCUUACUAAGUGUUUGAGAAAGGAGGCCUAAUACUUGUGUGUGCGAGAAAGAAAGUCUUAAACUUGUGUGAUUGAGCAAGAAAGCCCCAUACUUAUGUGUGUGAGCAAGGAAGUCUUAAGCUUGUGUGCUUGAGCAAAGAAGCCUCAUACUUAUGUGUGUGAUUAAGGAAGUCUUGCAUUUGUGUGCUUGAUCAAGGAGGCCUCGUACUUGUUUGUGUGUGAGCAAGGAAAUCUUGAGCUUGUGUGCUUAAGCAAGGAUGUCUCAUACUUGUGUGUGUGAGCAAGGAAGUCUUGAGCUUGUAUGCUUAAGCAAGGAAGUCUCAUACUUGUGUGUGUGAGAAAAGAAGUAUUUUGCUUGUGUGCUUGAGUAAAUUGUAAUCUUGUGUGAUUAUAGUGAAAAUCUCUUGUAAGUAUAAGGGGACCGAAGUGCUCUCGAUUUGUGAGAGACACCAGAAUAACUCUGUGUGUUAUUCUUGUUACUUGCAUUUUAUAUCAGCUCUCUAUCUCUAACUAUCUCAGAUUUUAUAACCUUGUGUUUAAAAUCUAAAUUAAGAGCUUUAAAAGAAAGAAAAAGCCAACAAAAUUCAACCCUCAUUCUUGUGUUUUUAUCACAUUCAACAAUCACUUUCAUAUCAAACCUUUUAGGUAAUAAUUUGAGAAUUUUCUUGGCAAGAUUUUCUUCAGACAUCUUUUCACCUAAGGUAAAAGAGGUGUUGGUAAUAUCACACAACCUGAUGUGAAAUUCACUAAUCAAUUCAUCUCAAUUCAUCCUUAGAUUCUUAAACUUAGUGGUAAGGAGCUGCAACCUUGACAUACGAAUUUUGGAGGUGCCUUCAUGAGCAUUUUUAAGAAUCUCCCAUGCUUCUUUUACUUUUUAACAUGUGUUGAUUAACUUGAACAUGUUCUUAUCCAUACCAUUGAAGAUAGCAUUCAAAGCCUUAGAGUUUCCAAGAGUUUCAUUAUAUUCAACAUCAGUCCAUUCAACUUCUGAUUUCAAUCUAGUAGUUCCAUCUUUAGAAGUAACAGCUGGAUGUUUCCACCCUUUUAUCACAUAUUUCUAAGCUUUUUUGCCCAUGGAUUUGACAAAGGCAACCAUCAUAAUUUCCAAUAAUCAUAAUUGGUGCGAUCCAAAACACAUGGUUUUUGACUGAUCCUCCAUCUUUAAUUGUUUCCAUUUGAUCAAAAUUUAUCUUCCCUGGAGCUCAUCCAACAGGCUAGGGUGCCCACUCUGAUGCCAAUUGAAAUUCUAUUCCUUAAGGGACAAAUGUAGAACACGAUGUCCUAGACAACCGAUUCGAUAAGUUAAACUAGAAACACCACAAUUAACACAUAUUUGAUUGUACAAAAUGAUGAAGCAGAAAAGCAAUAAAGAAAACAAUAAUUAGCAACCUAAUUCGAUGCAAUAACACCUACGUCUUAAGGGUUGACUUCGAACCCAAGAAAGGAAACUCGCUAUUAGUAGCUCAAUGCAAUUAGUCUUACAAGCAACAACAAACCCUAUUUUGUUCAAUGCCUUUACCUAACACUACCCAAUGAAUUUAUAUUUAGGACUCCCCAUAAAUAUGAAAAUUCAUCUCACUUUCUCUCAAUCACUAAACCCUAGUGACUGGUGUUUAACUCAAUUAUCAAUGUUGAAUAUUACAACUUAACUAGACAAACCUUCUAUGCCAAGUUACCGAAACAUAGAGGUGUACAUAAAGCAAUAACAAUGACUCUAAACCCCAACACUCUAAAUCUUCAACGAAUAUUGAUUGCUUUCCAAUGUAGGUAUUGAGCUCCUUAUAUAGCAAAAGUAUUAUUGGCUUUUCUCCCUGUGGAUCUGUAUUUAAUUUCGUCAAAAAUCUUUGCAUAACCAGUUAUAUAUUAUUUGCUCCAUAAAUAUCCCCAACAAAAAGACAUGAUUUGGUUUAAUUCAAAUUCAAAUUUAAAUCACAUUUAAACUUGAUUUGAUCUUCAUAGCUGUCCAACAAAUCAUAUAACCAAAUUGCUAAAUAAAAGCAAAAAAUCUAACUGAAUCUUCAACAAAAAAUUCGACCAAAACGCAACAAUAUGGCCUAUUUAGAAAGGCCCAGAUGUCGUACUCACAUGAUGUGACAUCGCGUCCAGCAUGUGCCCCUUCUGCACCAGAAAAUCAUCUGGAAGCAACUUGGCAAAUUUGAACACUUCUCCAUGUUGUUGUUUUGUAAAAUGCAGCCAAUCCAAAAGGAAUAACGCAACACUAAGAUCGACUAUAUAUACUAAUACAAUAGUAACCGUCGACGACAACUAUUUCCACAUGAUUUGACACAUAUCCGAUUAUGUGUGCCUCACCGCUCUAACUUGCUUCCAUACAUUCUUCUAUGUUAAAUUUAAUUGAAAACCACACACUAUGUUGAACCUCUUAACUGCCUCUGUCGAAAGUCUUUGGUCGACUCCUAUAAUAUUAUUGAGACAUCUUCAUAACACCUAGUCUGUGGACUUAAGAAUAUCCUAAGUCCCCAUUUGAUGGGCUUGUGGAAUUCGACCCUUGUCGAAAUGUUGAUUUGUAUAAAUCUCUUCGACAUUUUGGACAUAUUUUAAAGAGAGAUUGGUUUUAAUCUUGUGGACAUGUUCUUAAGACACUUCUAACCCAACCUUCGUGAGCAUUAAAAUACCCUAAGUCUCAACUCAUCUGAUAGGUCAGUUAAAACAUCUUAGUCGACACAAUUAAUAUGUCGAAGCUAUGUUUGAAGCUCUUAACACUUAGCAUUUUCCAAAAUAUUAUUAAUAUCCCUUUAUUUUUAGGUUAAAAUUUCCAGGCUAACAACCACAAAACAUACUAACCAAUUAUAUGUGUUAUUUAUCCGAUUCCAUGAAUUCCUUUGUAUUAAUUUGAGCACUUGCUCAAUUGAAAUAUCCUUGUUGUUAAAUACUUUAUUGUUUAUUGCUUUACAUAUGUUCUAAAUACAAACAAACCACACCACAUUUAAUCUAUUGACAUAAAUUCUUCCGCUCCUAUGUGGAGAUUUAAAUUGAUCAAGAUAAGUUACACACUUUCUUUAAAAUAUUGUGGAUAUAUCGGCCGAUUGCUAACAUGUACCAUAUACCUAUAAAAAUGGGACACUAAAAAAAGAUAAAAUACAUUUUUCACUAUACCAAUAUAUAGUUUUGAAUCGAGAUUUAUAGUCAUUUUCCUAACUAAAUUCUCUUUAAUUGACAAUCUAUUCCGAAGAAUCUUCCAUACUAAACAUAAUACUUUUGGAAAUACCACUUUAUCCCAAAUUUUUAACAAUCUAUUAUCUCUCUUUUAACGUGAUAUUCUUUUACAAAGACACCACCACUUAUAUUUAAAUUAGAUAUUACUCUCCAUUACGUAUAACUAUUUCCCUCGCAUUACUAAUAAUAUUGUCAUUCCCACCAUAUCUAAAUGCAACACUCUAUUUUGAGAGUUUAAUUUUUUUUAAUCAAUUUUUGAGAGUUUAAUUAUUCCCUGUUUUGUUAGCUAAGAAAAACUAUGACAGUUGCCCUAGUAGCUACAUAAACAAAAACAAAAUAACACACGCAUCAAAUUGGCGGUAACAGUCUUGCCUAAAAAGCUCUAACACUUUCCACAUCGGUAGUUUUUGAAACUUCAAAUAAAAUAAUACCUAAAAUCAUUACAGCAUUGAAAAUUUAUUAUUUCUCCAUUCAUCUACCAUCAUAGCUUUGUUUUAUUUUAUCUAUCACAAUAAUAAAUAAACAAAUCCACCAAAUACAAACAUAGUUGAUGAAAAGAAAAAAACAAAGCAACUAAGAAAUUGGCACUUGUAGAAACUAAAACGCACUUCGACAACUUCAAACACCAAACCAAACACUUCGCAACACUACAAUGUCUUUUCCUUCACUUCCUCCUUAAAAAACCACGCGCGAUUACGUAUAUACCCACGCGCCACCGUUUCUAAGUUUGGUUUAAUAUGGGUUGCGCGGCGUCGAAGCUAGAAAACGAAGACACUGUACGGCGGUGUAAAGACCGUCGCCGUCUCAUGAAAGAAGCCGUUUACGCGCGUCACCAUCUCGCAGCUGCACACUCUGACUACUGUCGUUCACUUCGCCUCACCGGCUCUGCUCUCUCUACAUUCGCCGCCGGUGAGCCUCUCUCUGUCUCCGACAACACCCCCGCCGUAUUCAUCAACCGGCUCUGCUCUCUCUACAUUCGCCGCCGGUGAGCCUCUCUCUGUCUCCGACAACACCCCCGCCGUAUUCAUCAACCAUAAAACAACCACCCCCAUCCCCACCACCGCCACGAAAACGUUCCAACAUCCACCAAAACCACAACCACCGUCGUCACACAUUCCAUCUCCUUCACCGUCUUCCUUCCACCGUCCACCGCCGGGGCAACCGUUUCAACCUUCACCUUCUCCCACCAUAACCUCCUCAAAACUCCCUCAUAUCCUCUCUUCAUCCACUCCCUCCACAAAUCAACACCACAACGCUCGCCGCCGUAAACCACCGCCGCCGAAACUCCCUCACAUUCUCUCCGAUUCAAGCCCUUCUUCUACCCCUCGAAGCAACUUCUCCAACAAUUUCGCUCCCGGUUUCUUCCCUACAGCACACUCUACAUACUCUUCCACCCCUUCUCAAACUUCCUCCGUUUGGAAUUGGGAAAAUUUCUAUCCUCCUCCUCCACCGCCACCGGGCUCCGAUUACUUCGACAGAGAGCAUGAACAUGAACAUGACCAAGAAGAUACUACUUCUCAAUUCUCUUUCAUUUCACGAAAUAGUGAAAUUCCUUAUUCCCGACAACAACAGCAACAACAACAACAAAAACAACAACCUCAACAACCACAAAUACAAACAUAUCAACCACAACAGCAACAACAGCAACAUCGAUAUCCUAAUCCAACAGCACAUGAAGUGGAAGGCUUUGAUUC